UGAUAAAGAUAAGGGUAAAAAGUAAGCUCUUGCUCUAAGAACAACUUUUAUUAGAUAUGUGAAAAAUUAUUGAGUUGAUUGGAGGAGUGAAACGCGUCUAUUUCUUCAUUUAAUAAUUCCAAUGAUUUACUGUCUCUUGCUUCAGACGAUGCCCAAUUCGUAGUUCACCUUUAGCAAGAUUAAGGAGUGUGUUUCGGUCCAUGACAUGUAAAAAGGCAGGAUUUGUUAUCCGACAGGUCGUCUUCUAAGUUUUUAUUCAUGAGGCCACACUUGAAUUAUUGUAGGUGUAUAUCCAUAUAUAUUUAUAUCUUUAACCCAUAGCUUCCAAAGAUUUCGGAGUAUCGUUUCCACUCCUGCAGCUUAUGCCACAGCAUUAAUCCGAGUAUGGGAAAAGUCCACGUUGAACCUCAAGUUAUGAACAAGUCC
rnacentral:lncRNA from 1 species